rnacentral:misc_RNA from 1 species
AUAAAGAUUUUAAAUGGCUGUCGAGUGUGUUGUCAAAAACGCAGCAAAAUCAGUUGGAGAAGGCCCCCAUUGGGAUGAUGUUACCAGUACCCUUCUGUAUGUGGACCAUCAUGAAAAAGCCAUUCACAAAUAUUGCCCAGAGAGUAAAGAGAACCGUACUAUUCAGCUAGACGACACAGCAGGAUUCGUAGUUCCUGCCAGAAAAGGAGGGCUGAUCGCUGGAGUAGGACGUUGUCUGGUCCACUUGGACUGGGACUCCAAGAAAGUGACCAAACUUCACGAGGUGGACCAUGGAUUGCAGACACGCUUCAAUGACGGCAAAUGUGAUCCCCAGGGAAGGGUCUGGGCAGGAACGUAUGGCCCUGUUGAACCAGACGUUGUAAAUAUGCCAAAGAUUGGAAGCUUAUAUCGUCUGGAUUUGGAUGGCAGAUUACAUACCAUGGUCAAAGAUGUUGGUAUUUCUAAUGGUCUUGCGUGGACAGCAGAUGAGAAAUUUAUGUUUUACAUUGACUCAACACCGCGCCAAAUCUACCGCUAUGAUUUUGAGAAAUCUACAGGAAAUAUAUCUAACAAGAAAGUGGUUGUAGACAAUGCGGGGAAGCCAAUAAAUGACUACGGUUUUCCUGACGGUAUGACAAUUGACACGGAAGGCAAACUUUGGAUAGCUUGUUUCCUUGCCAGCAAAGUUAUCAGAUACGACCCAGAAACAGAAACCAACUCAGUCGUCUUAGCAACCAUUACAAACUAAAAAGGAUUGGCAUGGGGCCAUAACAGUUAGAAGACCAUACUUUUGAUUUCUAUUUCACUUUUACCAAAGGAACAUAUCGUGGAAAAGUGAGGCUGAGAUCAAAAGACACCAACUACAGUGCAUUAACAUUCCUUCUGCUUCAAGAAUCACCUCUUGCUGCUUUGGAGGGAAGAAUUUAGACGAACUCUAUGUCACCUCUUCAGUUUUUGAAGUUUCGCCAGAAGAAUUCGAGAAAUAUCCGUUGUCUGGGUCCGUUUUUCGAGUAACUCAGCUAGGAGUGAAAGGACAAAAAGCUCAUGUUUACGAGGGAGAAAUUAAAGCCCUUGACAAAUAAAACCUUAGUUUUUUUCAGUAGAAAAACUAGAAAGAGAAAUACAACAAGUACAAUACAAUAAACUUUUGGACAUAUAACUCUAUAGAAAUUGCAAAGUUUUAAUUUAUCAUUAUAAAGAAUAUACAGUACGUGUAAUUAACCAAGUUACAUUUAAUGGUUUCAGUUUUCUUUAACGUCAUCAGGCACAGUGUUUAGAAAUGUUUUGAAUAUCAACAUUCUGAUCUAAUACUUUAUAAUUAUAUAAUGAUAAAAUGUAUUGAAAGU